GAUGAACGCUAGCUACAGGCUUAACACAUGCAAGUCGUGGGGCAUCAUGAUGUAGUAAUACAUUGAUGGCGACCGGCGCACGGGUGAGUAACGCGUAUCCAACCUACCCUCCACUCAAGUAUAGGCUUCCGAAAGGGAGAUUAAUCCUUGAUAUCGUCAUUCUCUCUCCUGUUAGAAUGAUAAAAGGACAUCGUUUCGGUAGAGGAUGGGGAUGCGUUCCAUUAGGUAGUAGGUGGUUUAACAGGCCACCUAGCCGAUGAUGGAUAGGGGUUCUGAGAGGAAUAUCCCCCACACUGGUACUGAGAUACGGACCAGACUCCUACGGGAGGCAGCAGUGAGGAAUAUUGGUCAAUGGGCGCAAGCCUGAACCAGCCAUGUAGCGUGAAGGAUGACGGUUUUUUUGAUUGUAAACUUCUUUUCUGUGCGAUUAAAGUGUGGCAUUUAUGCCAUAGUAGCAGUAUCUCAGGAAU
rnacentral:rRNA from 1 species